CUGCGGCAGCGACACUGUGUGUUGUUGGGUAGGGGAGCGUUCUGUAAGCCUGCGAAGGUGUCCCGUGAGGGAUGCUGGAGGUAUCAGAAGUGCGAAUGCUGACAUAAGUAACGAUAAAGCGGGUGAAAAGCCCGCUCGCCGGAAGACCAAGGGUUCCUGUCCAACGUUAAUCGGGGCAGGGUGAGUCGACCCCUAAGGCGAGGCCGAAAGGCGUAGUCGAUGGGAAACGGGUUAAUAUUCCCGUACUUGGUGUUACUGCGAAGGGGGGACGGAGAAGGCUAUGUUGGCCGGGCGACGGUUGUCCCGGUUUAAGCGUGUAGGUGUGUGUUCCAGGUAAAUCCGGUUCACUUUAACACUGAGGCGUGACGACGAGGCACUACGGUGCUGAAGCAACAAAUGCCCUGCUUCCAGGAAAAGCCUCUAAGCAUCAGGUAACAUCAAAUCGUACCCCAAACCGACACAGGUGGUCAGGUAGAGAAUACCAAGGCGCUUGAGAGAACUCGGGUGAAGGAACUAGGCAAAAUGGUGCCGUAACUUCGGGAGAAGGCACGCUGACACGUAGGUGAAGUGAUUUACUCAUGGAGCUGAAGUCAGUCGAAGAUACCAGCUGGCUGCAACUGUUUAUUAAAAACACAGCACUGUGCAAACACGAAAGUGGACGUAUACGGUGUGACGCCUGCCCGGUGCCGGAAGGUUAAUUGAUGGGGUCAGCGCAAGCGAAGCUCCUGAUCGAAGCCCCGGUAAACGGCGGCCGUAACUAUAACGGUCCUAAGGUAGCGAAAUUCCUUGUCGGGUAAGUUCCGACCUGCACGAAUGGCGUAAUGAUGGCCAGGCUGUCUCCACCCGAGACUCAGUGAAAUUGAACUCGCUGUGAAGAUGCAGUGUACCCGCGGCAAGACGGAAAGACCCCGUGAACCUUUACUAUAGCUUGACACUGAACAUUGAGCCUUGAUGUGUAGGAUAGGUGGGAGGCUUUGAAGUGUGGACGCCAGUCUGCAUGGAGCCGACCUUGAAAUACCACCCUUUAAUGUUU
rnacentral:rRNA from 1 species